rnacentral:lncRNA from 1 species
GCAAAAUGAAAAUUUAUUAAAAUACGAAGAAAAUACAAGAUGGAGAAGGAAUUACAGAAAAUGGAUCCCAAAAAUGGAUUCAGAGAUAUCAAAUUAGGGGGAGAGGCCCCCUUUUUAUAGAUACAUGGAGUAAAUCAUGGCUAUCGGAUUAAAAACAGUUUGGACGCUCAGGAUUGCGCCACGUCAUCAGUCAACAGUACGCGGUUUGACCACGUGGAUGAACAGUAACACGGUUUGACCCGGAUGAACAGUAAUGCAGUUUGGUUGAAAAUAAUCCUGUGUGAUGCAUGUACCGUACGCGAGAUUUUUCGUCCACUGAUAUGCUGCCACGUCACCAUCAACAGUACAUAAGAAUUUUAGCCCAACAGGAUCGUGACACCUCAUCAGUCAAUGCCACGUCAUCGAUCCGUCUAUGUGAACAGUGUCGUGAACAGUAACGUAGACAGUACCGUACAUGUGAAUAGUACCGUACAUGUGAAUAGUACCAUUUUUCCUUUUAUGCUCCUCCUAAGGUUUUCGACCGUCCUGAGUUCAAAAGUGAUGUCCGUUUUGCCGUCUGAUCUCUCCUUUAUUGUGAAAUGACUAUAAUGCCCCUAAAAUACAUAAAAUACUUAAUUAAAAUAAAACAAAUGUAAUUAAAUCACAAGAAGGUUAAAUACAUAAAAGUAAGGGUUGUUAGUAAGACUUGAAAUGUCAAAUGACGGUUUUCUCCUUUAUAAAUAUGUAUUUUCUAACACUUAACAGUAAUUGCUUAUAAAAAUUAACCAACAACCCCCGACGCCAAAACUUCACCCAAUGGCUUUGAUACCACUGUUAGGAAAUUAGGAUUCCUUCCAAGAUCACUUGAAACAAUUUGUCAAGCAACAAAUCAACAGAAAAUUAAAUUGAGAACAAUAUUAGUAGCACAACACAAGAUUUACGUAAAAAAACUCUAAAUCUAGAGAAAUAUCACGAUCGUUGUCAAGAGACAGCAAGAGAAAAUAUUCACUAUGUGAAAAAUUAUUCCAACCAUACUUUCAGAAAUAAGUUUCUCUCACCCAAACCCCAAAUACACCUAAAAAUUAUUCAACUCUAAAAUUCUCUUUAAAUAUAAGAGGAAAUGAAUUCUUUGGGAUGAUAAAAACUUAUGAAAAGCUCUCUUCUUUAUAAACAACCGAAUAACACUAUUCAAACUGUGUUACCACAUAUGUCGUGUUACUGUCCAUGCCACGUUAUUGCUCAAGCCGUGUUACUAUUCACCGCGUGGUCAAUCUGUGUUAUUGUUUACCACAUGGUAAAAUCAUAUUUUUAACUCCUUGGAUCUCAACUAGUGUGAUUUGCGUGGGAAGUUUCCAAAAAAGAUAUUGUAGGUACCUACACUUCAGACUCUUGACUAGGGAUGGCAAUUUCCGGGUUCGGGUCCGGGUUUGGCUGUUCCGGAUCCGGACCCGGACACAAAAUUCUCAUAACCGGACCCGCAUUAAACCCCCUUUUUUUUAAUCCGGGUCCGGUCCGGGUUCAACCCGGAAAAAUCCGGGUUUCCGGAUUCCGGGUUUUGAACCCGGAUUGCUUUAUUUUUAUCUUCUAUUCUUCUGGCCAACAAUGCAAGGUGUUCAAAACAACGAACAUGGUUAGUGCCAAGAUGAUGAUUGAGUAAUGUUUAUUUUAUUUUAAUAUUAGCCUCCAUAUUUUUUGCUUCCAAAAAACGUUGGCAAAACCGCAGAAGGAAAAAAAAUUUACUCAAGAAAUAAUAAUUAACAAAAUAAACAUCAAGCUUUUCUAAAAGAACAGAGCUGGCUUGUUGGUAAAAACUUGUUAUAUAGCUGUUUUCCCAAGUGCCGUCGAUUAUGUCAUUAAUUUUUCUUUUUUGUAAUUUUCUUUUUUUACUCUUAAAUCUUGAUCAACUACAUCAUCGAUUCAUUUCCAAUUCAACAAUAAAUUAUAAAUCCAAAAAAAUAUGUAUUGUUUUUAUACUAUCCAAGACCAAACCAAAAUUCAUGUUAGGUAAGACGGCACUUACAAACGUUGAAUCUUCUCAAUUGUUCAGCCCUAACAAACCCAAGCAAAAAUUUAAUAUUCCAUCCCCUAAAUAAUUUAGACCACUGCCACCAGCUGUCAAAAUUACCGAUCAUGUCUAGUAAUCAAUUCCAGCUGUCUCUAUUCUGCAUAUGCUUAAUGCUCUCAUCUUUAGUCUCCGCACACAACUCUUAACACCGUGUUCUAAAUGAUACUGAAACUUUAGAUAAAAGAACACGCAACGCCAAAAACUAAUUGUGGAACACAUCCGCCAUAUGAUGAAGAAGAAGAUGAGGAUCCCAGUUGUGAAUUUCAACCCCUUUUGCUGGCCACGACAGAGUGAGAGAUGAGACAAGUGAUGCUGAUGACUUAUGAAACGAACACAGCCGCACCGUGAAGGUGAUGACAGGCCGCGCCACGAAGGAUCUGAUCUGAUCUGAAGAAGAGAUUACAUGAGAGUUGAAGAGAGAGUGAGAGAGAUUAAGUGAGGACUGAGGAACAGGUCACGGGUGAGAGAGAUUGAGAGAGGAACGGAUGAGACUUGAGAGAUUGAGAGAAGAAAUUACAGUAGAGUUCAGUUGAAGAGAGUGAGAGAUCGAGAAUUCGAGAUUUCGAGAGAGGAAUUAGAGAGAUUGAGAGAUCUAGGGUUCGCUUUUGUUUUUUUUUUUUCUAUUUAUAUUUACGGAUUU